UUACAAAUUUUUUUCGAGCUUGUAAUUUUUUGAAUUCCAUAAAAUUUUCAAGUGUAGGAUUGUAUUUGAACCUUAUAUAAGCAUCUUUACUAUUUUUGACGGCCAACGCACAACUCUCAUUCCACCAAGAUUCACUAAAGGCAGGAGGAAAACUAUUGUUCAACAGAAGUUUAGUCAUUGUUGGCAAAUGAUAGCUGCCUAAAGGAUCAUCAUGAACCCACCAUUCAGAAUUAAGUGCCAAUGAAGGACUAAUAAAUGAAAGAUCCAGUGCAUUAGGUCGCCAAGUGUUAGUGCCAAUCGUAGUAACAUGUCCAUCAUUUAAUAACACUAAAUCACAAUCAUCGAGGGAAUCGAGAAUGUCUCUGCCUCGUGCAUCAGUUGAAGAACAACCCCACAAGACAUGAUGUGCAUUAAAAUCCCCUGAUAUAAAGGCCGGUUUCGGAAUACUGUUAAUUAAGUUGAUAAAUUUAGAUUUCGUAAAUGUAGGGGUGCAAUUAGUAGGACAAUAAAAGCUAGCGAUUGAAAGCGGCUUAUUAUUUA